GACGAACGCUGGCGGCGUGCUUAACACAUGCAAGUCGAACGGUAAGGCCCUUCGGGGUACACGGGUGGCGAACGGGUGAGUAACACGUGGGUGAUCUGCCCUGCACUUCGGGAUAAGCCUGGGAAACUGGGUCUAAUACCGGAUAGGACCACUGCCUGCAUGGGUGGUGGUGGAAAGCUUUUGCGGUGUGGGAUGGGCCCGCGGCCUACCAGCUUGUUGGUGGGGUGAUGGCCUACCAAGGCGACGACGGGUAGCCGGCCUGAGAGGGUGACCGGCCACACUGGGGCUGAGAUACGGCCCAGACUCCUACGGGAGGCAGCAGUGGGGAAUAUUGCACAAUGGGCGCAAGCCUGAUGCAGCGACGCCGCGUGAGGGGUGACGGCCUUCGGGUUGUAAACCUCUUUCAGCACCGACGAAGCGCAAGUGACGGUAGGUGCAGAAGAAGGACUGGCCAACUACGUGCCAGCCGCCGCGGUAA
rnacentral:rRNA from 1 species